UGUUGGUCCUGGGUUAUCAGAUCGACAGAUCUGAAGAAAAGAAGGGUGAGGUAAUGGAAGCAUGAACAUAUCCACUAUUCAGCUUUGUUCCUGCAGAUGAACAAUGCCAUGGUUUGAUGAACAAAUGGGAAGAAACCUGGGCCCCUAAAUGACUGUAUGAAGACACUUUGCCUCCUGACCCACUCACCACAGAACUAGUAUAUAAAAGAGAAAUUGACUUUCAAUAUCUUCAAGUCAUUGUAUUUUUGACAUUAGAGUGUACCCACAUCUAAAUUACAUGCC
rnacentral:lncRNA from 1 species